UCUAGUGAUGAUGGCAGAGAGGUCACACCCGUUCCCAUACCGAACACGGAAGUUAAGCUCUCUAGCGCCGAUGGUAGUUGGGGGCUUCCCCCUGUGAGAGUAGGACAUCGCUAGGC
rnacentral:rRNA from 2 species